rnacentral:rRNA from 1 species
UAGGGAAUCUUCCACAAUGGGCGAAAGCCUGAUGGAGCAACGCCGCGUGUGUGAUGAAGGGUUUCGGCUCGUAAAACACUGUCGUAAGAGAAGAAUGACAUUGAGAGUAACUGUUCAAUGUGUGACGGUAUCUUACCAGAAAGGAACGGCUAAAUACGUGCCAC